rnacentral:rRNA from 1 species
CCUACGGGCGGCAGCAGUGAGGAAUAUUGGUCAAUGGCCGAGAGGCUGAACCAGCCAAGUCGCGGGAGGGAAGAAUGUCCUAUGGAUUGUAAACCUCUUUUGUCAGGGAGCAAAGUAACCCAAGUGUGGGGGUUGGAGAGUACCUGAAGAAAAAGCAUCGGCUAACUCCGUGCCAGCAGCCGCGGUAAUACGGAGGAUGAGAGCGUUAUCCGGAUUUAAUGGGUUUAAAGGGUGCGUAGGCGGGUUAUCAAGUCAGCGGUAAAAUCGGGGAGCUCAACUCCAUCCAGACGUUGAUACGUAUGAUCUUUAGUGGGCGAGAAGUAUGCGGAAUGCGGGGUGUAGCCGUGAAAUGCAUAGAUAUCACGCAGAACUCCGAUUGCGAAGGCAGCAUACCGGCGCCCGACUGACGCUGAAGCACGAAAGCGUGGGUAUCGAACAGGAUUAGAUACCCGAGUAGUC